rnacentral:lncRNA from 1 species
GUAAUAUGGCAUUUUUUUCUGGCUUGGCUUCCCCAGCGACCUACGCACCGAUACUGGCAAGGACUAGGGAGUUUUUUGGGAUAAAAACGGAAUAGAGCUAAGCACAGGAAAAAUCCUAGAGGAUUACCGGUUAUUUCUGCUUUCCAACAAACACUGGGAAACAAAUUCACCUUUCAGCAGGACAAUAACUUAGUUGCUUUCCAGGACAGCAUUGAAUGUUCCUGAGUGGCCGCCUAGUUAUAGUUUUGAAUUAAAUCGUCUUGAAAAUCUAUGGCAAGACUUGAAAAUGACUGUCUAGCAAUGAUCAACAACCAACUUGACAGAGCUUGAAGAAUUCUCAAAAGAAUCAUGUGCAAAUAUUGUACAAUCUAGUCUGACAGUAACCCAGCUGUCUGAAGCAGAGGAUCACUCUUUCAGCUGCUGCAUGAAGCAGCCAGGCAAAAAGACAGAGUUGGUAUCGACAUUGACGUGGGCCAUCACUCAAACAAAGAUGCCUUCGUGCUCACCAGUGCAUAUUUCCAAACUAUAAUGACAAUAAAAUCUCAAAACUAUGCCGCUA